UACGGGGGGGGCAAGCGUUGUUCGGAAUUACUGGGCGUAAAGCGCGCGUAGGCGGCUUUUCAAGUCAGGCGUGAAAGCCCCAGGCUUAACCUGGGAACUGCGCUUGAUACUGUCGAGCUAGAGUGUGGAAGGGGCGAUUGGAAUUCCGUGUGUAGCGGUGAAAUGCGUAGAUAUCGGGAGGAACAUCAGUGGCGAAGGCGGCUACCUGGCCCAAUACUGACACUCAGGUGCGACAGCGUGGGGAGCAAACAGG
rnacentral:rRNA from 1 species